GCCUGGGUGGCUCAGUCAGUUAAGCAUCUGACUUCAGCUCAGGUCAUGAUCUCAUGGUUCAUGGGUUCGAGUCCCACAUCAAGCU
rnacentral:tRNA from 1 species